rnacentral:rRNA from 1 species
UCGAGCGAUCUUCUUCGGAAGAGAGCGGCGGACGGGUGAGUAACGCGUGGGUAACCUGCCCUGUACACACGGAUAACAUACCGAAAGGUAUGCUAAUACGGGACAACAUAAGAAAUUCGCAUGUUUUUCUUAUCAAAGCUCCGGCGGUACAGGAUGGACCCGCGUCUGAUUAGCUAGUUGGUGAGGUAACGGCUCACCAAGGCGACGAUCAGUAGCCGACCUGAGAGGGUGAUCGGCCACAUUGGAACUGAGACACGGUCCAAACUCCUACGGGAGGCAGCAGUGGGGAAUAUUGCACAAUGGGCGAAAGCCUGAUGCAGCAACGCCGCGUGAGCGAUGAAGGCCUUCGGGUCGUAAAGCUCUGUCCUCAAGGAAGAUAAUGACGGUACUUGAGGAGGAAGCCCCGGCUAACUACGUGCCAGCAGCCGCGGUAAUACGUAGGGGGCUAGCGUUAUCCGGAUUUACUGGGCGUAAAGGGUGCGUAGGCGGUCUUUUAAGUCAGGAGUGAAAGGCUACGGCUCAACCGUAGUAAGCUCUUGAAACUGGAGGACUUGAGUGCAGGAGAGGAGAGUGGAAUUCCUAGUGUAGCGGUGAAAUGCGUAGAUAUUAGGAGGAACACCAGUAGCGAAGGCGGCUCUCUG